GGGAAUUUGGACAAUGGGGGCAACCCUGAUCCAGCCAUGCCGCGUGUGUGAAGAAGGCUUUCGGGUUGUAAAGCACUUUCAGUGGGGAGGAAAACGUGUUGGUUAAUAACCAGCAUUCUUGACGUCACCCACAGAAGAAGCACCGGCUAACUCCGUGCCAGCAGCCGCGGUAAUACGGAGGGUGCAAGCGUUAAUCGGAAUUACUGGGCGUAAAGCGCACGUAGGCGGCUGUUUAAGCCAGUUGUGAAAGCCCCGGGCUCAACCUGGGAAUUGCAGUUGGAACUGGGCAGCUGGAGUACAGUAAGGGGUGUGGAAUUUCAGGGUGAGCCGGUGAAAUGGCGGUAAAUUUCUGAAGGACAUUCA
rnacentral:rRNA from 1 species